UUUGUCUCCUAGUUUUUGAGGUUCUGAUUUGAGGUGAUGAUUUUCAUAUCCUUAAGUGCACACUUAAGCAGAUUUUCCUGUAUUGAGAGUGUUGUUAAUUUUCUUGUUGUUCCAGGGUAGGUUUUUCUCUGAUGUGUGUGGAGCCCCCAUUUUUUGACUCUUCUCUGACUUUCCCGUGGCUCUGGGUGGCUUUACCGCCUCUGUCCCUUUGCCCUGGUGGCCUUGGGGUAUUUGCCACAUCUGUGGUUUCCUGGUGCCGUCUGCUGGCCACAUGGGGAAGUCCAGGUCUUGAGCGGGUCCUUGCUGGUGUGCAGGACGGAAGUUGUCCUCCAGUUCUCCCGGCCCUUUCCUGCAGGACCCAGAACUUCCCCCUUUCCUUCUUUUCUGCCUCACCACCCAGUGGCCAAAGGGCUCCUCUCAGGACAUGCUGUGUUGCCUUGACAACCCCUUCCCGUCUUGUGCUCAGUGGUCCCUGCCCUGUGGUCUGCACUGACCUUCCUGGACACCUCUCAGGCCCUGGGACUUGGGGUGGCUUAGCCUUUCAGCAGUGGCUUCCCACAGACCCCUGUCCCACCCCGCCCCACCGCGGCCUUGCAGGGGAGAGACUGGGGGGUCAGGCUCAGGCGUGUGUUGACUCUGCGCCGACUUGCAGUGAUUUUGAAGUCUAGGCGCCCUCGUCCAGUGCAGACGGCGAUGCUGGUGUAAACCUGCGUUCCUUGCUUGUGCUGAACUGUGUUUGGAAGAGAGGCUGGGAGACAUCAGCUCGGCAGCCACGUUGUCUUCGGCCUCCCGGAAGUGAUGCUAACUUUCUAAGCUGUGUGUCUGAGUGUUUUUCGCUACUACUGCUGUUCUUCAAAACGUGCUGCCAGUGACCUGGCCUUGUGUGUGUGACACCCCGUAAAUGGUUAGGCACGGAGAGGGCACGUACGCGUUCGGGGCGGAGGUGGCUGGAGUGUGUGCGGCAUAGGCUAUUGUUACCCGCCGCCCGGGGCGGCUGUGGGCACAGCAUUCUCCACCCAUUGCUCGGCUGGGGCUCCGUGGCGGAGUAAAGGACGGACCAAGGGGCUCCCGCCCCGGGAGCAGACGCGCUCCUCCCGGACAGCCCCCAGGUGCUGACCGUGUGGGGCCUGACGUUUGGGUGGCGCAGACCCUGCACCGGGCGGUUCCGCGGACGGCGACUCUGCAUUUGGCUUCGAUACUGAGUGUCUAUGGCACAUAUGCGGUGGAGAGACCUCCUCCUUUCAUUUGAUCCUUUUGAGAGCCCUGUGAUGGGGCGAGGGCUGUCUGCAGCGCCAUGCGUCAGAGGCUCCAUGACCAGUCCCUGCCUGACCCCUCUGGCUGCUACGCCCACCAUGGGCACAGCCCGUGAGGGGUUUGGAUGAAUCUAGGGAGGAAAGCCACUGCCACUGCCGUGUGGGUUGGGCACAGAAGGCCUUGGUCCGCUGGCAGCCCCAGUCCUGAGAAGAGAGGGGGAGGUUCCUACGAGAUCUCCACUCCAUCUUCAGAGCAGUUUAGCAACAAACUCUCUGCGGGAGCCAAAAUCCACAUAGAAUUCUGCAAGCAAAGACCCUAUGGGAAAGACAGGGAGUCUGGACCCCUCCUGCCUGGGGCGAAGUGGGCUGGGGAGAAGCGGGAGUGUGCCAUGUAGAGAAAGGCAAUUGGAGUAUCAGGGGUCGGGCCCCGGCUCAGUGGUCCCAGGCAGCUCGGGUGUCGGAACCCCCAGACAGUUCACGCGACAAAGAAUCACGCGGGUCAACCUCAGGGACCUCAUAUUUUGUUUAGAAAAUGAACGUGAGACAAGCCAUUCACUGCUGCUCUACAAAGCAUUCCUUAAGUGACACAGGAGGACGCCUGGGGACUUUUUAUAUAUUUGCAGAUUACGCCUUUUUGUAACGAGCAAAUGGGAUAUUGUUUAAAAAACAGCCACCUCUUUACAAUGGAACAGUUUUAUAUUCCUGUUUCUAAAUCAGCUCUUCAGUGUGAAAGAAAACACGUUUCUGUAACAGAGAGAACACAAAGGCCUGUGGAUACUCUUAAAGGACAAUUAAAUCUUAACUCAUCUUGAUUGAGUGGCCUUCCUGCCAAACAAGCCAUAUAUAAAGACUGAUGGAAUCGUUAGCAAAUAAUUAGCUGCCCUCUGUCAACUC
rnacentral:misc_RNA from 1 species